rnacentral:rRNA from 1 species
ACCGGAGCUAAUACCGGAUAAUAUAUUGAACCGCAUGGUUCAAUAGUAGAAAGACGGUUUUGCUGUCACUUAUAGAUGGAUCCGCGCCGCAUUAGCUAGUUGGUAAGGUAACGGCUUACCAAGGCAACGAUGCGUAGCCGACCUGAGAGGGUGAUCGGCCACACUGGAACUGAGACACGGUCCAG